GCUUCUAUGGUGGAAGUGGUAGACACGGCAGAUUCAAAAUCUUUUGUCUUUUGACGUGCUGGUUCGACUCCGGCUGGAAGUA
rfam:Ectocarpus siliculosus strain Ec 32, whole genome shotgun sequence assembly, unassigned sequences LGTn